CCCCGCCGCACCGGGCACCCCGCACCCGGUACCCCCCUGCUUGGGGCCGCCGCGUUUCUUCGCGACUUUGAGCCCCUUUUUCUUCCACCCUUCCCCUUCUCCUGCUCCUGUUCUUUUCCCUCCCGCUGCCCGCAGCCCGGACUGGAGCCUCCUCGGCAUAACCCCGGUGCCUCCGCAGCCCCUCGGCCGCAAUAGAUCAUACUAAAAAGAGAUUCUAGCAGGAAGCAACGAUGAAUGCAAUGUUUGCUUGAAAGAAGGUUAUGGAGAAUAUUUACUGGGUUAGCACGCGUACCCGCAUUGCAGAGGUCAUUUGAGAGGAGCAAGAAGCAACCACGGCCAUGUGGCCAAGGGCAGCUGAAAAAUGGAACAAACAUGUGCUGAGAGGAAUGACCAAGCACCUCUGCACUUCAGCUCUUCUGGGACAUGCAAAUCUGCUACAAAACAGUAUAGCCAUUCAGAUCCAUACAAAGAACUUUAUCCAAGGCAACACAAAAGAAAAAGUGUUUUCAAAAGGAGUAUCCGGGAAUUCUCAACACUGAACGUUAGUUCUUUGGCAUUUUCAUGAUGAAAACCAAAGGUAAAUCUUCCUAUCACUAUUCAGUUGACUUAAAAAAAUACAUUACUUUGUCUUUCCAUAUAAAACUCAAGUAAUGAAAAUAUGAAAG
rnacentral:lncRNA from 14 species